rnacentral:rRNA from 1 species
UACGUAGGGGGCAAGCGUUGUCCGGAAUCAUUGGGCGUAAAGAGCGUGUAGGCGGCCCGAUAAGUCCGCUGUGAAAGUCCAGGGCUCAACCCUGGGAUGCCGGUGGAUACUGUCGGGCUCGAGUCCGGAAGAGGAGUGUGGAAUUCCUGGUGUAGCGGUGGAAAUGACGCAGAUAUCAGGAGGAACAACCAAUGGCGAAGGCAGCACUCUGGGACGUGACUGACGCUGAGACGCGAAAGCGUGGGGAGCGAACAGG